ACGACAUGAUGGGGACAUUUCCUGAUGAGGACCUUUAAUCUCACCCAUGACUCAUGACACUGCUCACCAUCUUGCUGCGAGAAACUAGUGAGAGCUCAUCUUAUUUGGUUGU
rnacentral:snoRNA from 1 species